rnacentral:rRNA from 1 species
UACGUAGGGUGCGAGCGUUAAUCGGAAUUACUGGGCGUAAAGCGUGCGCAGGCGGUGAUGUAAGACCGAUGUGAAAUCCCCGGGCUUAACCUGGGAACUGCAUUGGUGACUGCAUUGCUGGAGUGUGUCAGAGGGGGGUAGAAUUCCACGUGUAGCAGUGAAAUGCGUAGAGAUGUGGAGGAAUACCGAUGGCGAAGGCAGCCCCCUGGGAUAACACUGACGCUCAUGCACGAAAGCGUGGGGAGCAAACAGG